GUGUUUGUCUGUUUACUCGAAUGAGAGGCAGAUUUUUGCAGUUGCAAUUCUUCUGCCAUUCUUGUUUUUUUCCUUCUCUAACUCCAAGUGUUUUCUAAGUAACUCAGCACUACUCUAUUGAUCAUUUAGUUGUUCUUGUUGUAAUGUUGGAGACUUUACUACUUGAUUAGAGCUUUGUUGAUGAGCUUCUCCUUGAUUCGGCUAGCCAGGUUCUUUAAGACAGAGCUAAUUGCUGAUAAGUGCUGGCCGAGAUCAAGCACUGCUUUCUCAAUACCUCCAACUUGCUAAGAUAACCCCCCUCCUGCUUGGAACCAAUAGACUGCACAUUUGCCUACAGUUUAGAUACUUCAGAACGUGUCAACAAGUUAUCCUUCUGCAACACACCGAAAUCAUCACGCAAAGGCAACACCUCCUGUAGAUCCGUAUCAUCAAUCACCUUUGGAUGCCCCGUCGCCUUGAUCUGGAAAAGAGAGAGGGGAUUUUACUGCGAGAAUUCUUUCGGUAACCAAAACUGCACCUCCUGUAGGCCCUCUUCCCCAGAGCCUGCCGCUUUCUCGAUCCACACCACCAAAACUGCACGAACCAGCAAUUGAUCUAGAAUUUUACCGCUAGAGAAGUGAUCUCUAGCAACUCAUCCUCACUACUGGUUUGCAGCCAAACACUUCACCGCCUCCAACGCCACCCUGGUUCAGGUCACCGCCACCAGCGCCGCCGUAGCAGAUCAUGCUCGGAUCGCGUCGACUCAGAGCAUCGGGAGGGAAACUGGGUGGGAAUCACUCCUUCUUACGGAAAAAAAAUUAUGGCCGAGGAAAGCCUUGCUCUCAAUACCAAUUUGUGAGGCCCCGCUAGUAAUUCAGCCUGAACAAGGGAGAUCUAAGAUGUAAAUCGAGCGAAGUACCUAGAGUUUCGGCCAAGGAACGAGAGCCAUCUUAUCUAUUAAGCAUCUAUAAAGUAUAUUCGCUACUCCAAGGCAAGAUAACAG
rnacentral:lncRNA from 1 species